UUAUGUCUUUAAGAAAUCCAGACUAACCAGUUAUUUGAGAAAGAGUCAUGGCACAAACGUACCAGAAAAGCCACAUGGAUACAAGAUGGAACAGUGCUCCCUGGAGUUGAUAACUUUGCACAUAUUGGAGGGUUUGAUACUGGUUUUCUACUUGGAUUUGUGCUUUUAAUCCGUCCCCAUUAUGGAUGGAUCUACCAAAGAAACGCUCCUGGAGCUAAACCACACAGGUAGAAGAUGUAUCAGGGCAUAUUUUGGACCAUCUCUCUUCUCCUCUUGGUCGCUGGGUUCAUUGCUGGAUUGAUCUCUCUCUUCAACAAUGUCGAUGGAAACGAACAUUGCUCAUGGUGUCAUUAUCUUUCAUGUGUUCCAACUUCUAAAUAGAGCUGUAACCGAGAACCAGCCUCUUGCACGACGACUCAAUUAUGUAACCAAUUCAGCAUGACUUGUUUAAGAAAUGGGAAAUCAGCAUCUUACAUUUUGGCAAAUCCCCCGGACUCACGGAUUAAUAGCUUAUGUGUUCAGCUUUGCCAUUGAUUUUUACUUAAUGAUUUUUAGAACAUAUACAAACUCACUUGUGUCUACACUUUGU